rnacentral:rRNA from 1 species
UGGGGAAUAUUGCACAAUGGGCGCAAGCCUGAUGCAGCCAUGCCGCGUGUGUGAAGAAGGCCUUCGGGUUGUAAAGCACUUUCAGCGAGGAGGAAGGGUUCAGUGUUAAUAGCACUGUUCAUUGACGUUACUCGCAGAAGAAGCACCGGCUAACUCCGUGCCAGCAGCCGCGGUAAUACGGAGGGUGCAAGCGUUAAUCGGAAUUACUGGGCGUAAAGCGCACGCAGGCGGUUUGUUAAGUCAGAUGUGAAAUCCCCGCGCUUAACGUGGGAACUGCAUUUGAAACUGGCAAGCUAGAGUCUUGUAGAGGGGGGUAGAAUUCCAGGUGUAGCGGUGAAAUGCGUAGAGACUCUGGAGAAUACCG